AUUUUUACACUAAAAAUAGUUAGGGCCUUUUCAGUGCGACGCGGACGACCCACGCGGACGCCCGCGAUGGACGGC